CGCACUGGAAGGAGCCAUGCCUAGUGCAGAAUGGACCUUUACGGAGGGCUGGCUGAGUGGGGAAUUCAGGAGAGAUGGGAUCCCUGCCGAUGAAUGAUUCCCCUGGGUGUCACUGCUAUAAGGCGUUUCCUAGGAAAUUCGAAUCUACCUGAUCCAGUCGAGCUCUCCUUACCAUCUCCGAAUCAUGAAGGACUCCCUCAGGGAUCGCGAAUCGAGGAGCCGUGGUUUCGCUGUGGUUCCGCCUUCUCGCAGACACGAGGACAAACGCCGAAGCCGCGUUGCCGUGGAAACAGAAACGAGCUUCCUUGGGGAGAGAAGUGUUACCAAAACACUGCAGGCAAUCAGCUUAAUGUUUCCCCAGCAGCAGCGGUGGUUGAAUUGCGUCCCGUGGGAAAUAAUUAAUGCUUAGCAAAAAUAUGAAUUCCACCAUUUCGCAUUAGCAACAGCUAGCUUACCUGCAGUUAUCGAAAAUGGUCGUCGGGUUUCUUCAACUCGAACCGCUAAUCCCACGAACAAUACAUCGUAUAAUGUAUUUGGGGCUCGCUUGACUUGGAGAUGAACAACAGCAUGCUUGUUUAAACUUGUCCGAGGAGCGCCAGUAUUGUCUAUGAAGCACAAAGCGUGUAGUUUUGUCCCCCUCACAAACUUCCAACGGGAAUGUAUUUUUUUUUUUUCUAACGGAGAUCUGUUCUGUUGGCGCCCACAAAAAAAA